rnacentral:rRNA from 1 species
AUGGAAUGGGACCAACUGUUAGCUCCUCUAGUUUCUCAGCACAAGGGAAGCAAAGUUUUGGUAACUUCUCGAUGGGAUACAUUUCCUUCCGCUCUUUACUGUGAAAAGGUGCUCCGUUUGGAAAGCAUGAAAGACGCUCAGUUCUUGGCACUCUUCAAAUACUAUGCCUUCACUGGAGCACAAAUCAGAGAUCCUCCCUUGCUUGAAAGGCUAGAAGAGAUUGCAGAGGAGAUAGUUAAGAGGCUUGGACAGUCUCCUUUGGCUGCAAAAGUUGUUGGUUCCCAGUUGAAAGGGAAAAUGAAUGUCCCUGCCUGGAAAGAUGCUCUGACUUUAAAGAUUGACAACUUAAGUGAGCCCAGAACAGCUCUGCUGUGGAGUUAUCAGAAGUUAGAUCGACGUCUUCAGAGGUGCUUUGUAUAUUGCAGCUUGUUUCCGAAAGGACACAAGUAUAACAUUGAUGAGUUGGUUCACCUGCUGAUAGCAGAGGGGCUUGUUGAUCCAUGCAACCAGAAAAGGAGAAUGGUAGAUGUUGGAAAGGAUUACCUCAAUGAGAUGGUUUCUGGGUCUUUCUUGCAACCAUUUUCUGAAAGUUCUAUGGACACAUGCUACAUUAUGCAUGAUCUUCUUCAUGAUUUGGCAGAAUCGCUCUCUAAAGAUGAUUGCUUCAGAUUAGAAGAUGAUAGGGUGACAGAAAUACCAUGCACUGUUCGUCAUCUGUCUGUUCGUGUUGAGAGUAUGAAACAACAUCAGCGCAGUAUCUGCAGGCUACAUCAUUUGCGCACUGUUAUCUGUAUCGACCCACUUACUGAUGAUGUGAGUGAUCUUUUCCGUCAGGUACUGCAAAACUUGAAGAAGUUACGUGUACUCUAUUUGUGCUUCUACAAUAGUGACAAGCUACCUGAAUCUGUUGGUGAGCUGAAGCACCUUCGGUAUUUAAACCUCAUUAGAACUUCCAUUGCCGAAUUGCCUGGAUCAUUAUGUGUUCUUUACCACCUACAGUUACUUCUGUUAAACCAUAAAGUCAAGAGUUUGCCUCACAAACUCUGCAAAUUAAGCAAGUUAUGGCAUCUCGAAGGGUAUCAUGAUCUGGGAUACAGGAUGUGUGAAGUAGCUCUGCCUCAAAUCCCUUAUAUAGGCAGGCUAACUUCGCUCCAGCAUGUUAAAGAAUUUUGUGUGCAAAAGCAGAAGGGAUGUGAGUUGCAACAGCUUAGAGACAUGAAAGAGCUUGGUGGCAGUUUAAGAGUCAGAAACCUGGAGAAUGUCACUGGAAAGGAUGAAGCCUUAGAGUCAAAGCUGUAUCAGAAAAUUAAUCUGGGAAGCUUGGCCCUUGUCUGGAGUUGCAAUAAUCGCAUGAAUGCAGAUGGUAGUUUACAGUUGGAGAUUCUAGAAGGUUUGAUGCCACCGCCUCAACUGAAAGGCCUUGAAAUCAAGGGUUACAAAUCUGAGACGUAUCCAAGUUGGUUACUUGAUGGUUCGAAUUUUGAGAAUUUGGAAUCUUUUAAGCUUGUUGAUUGCAGUGCAUUAGAAGGCCUGCCACUCAACACCAAGCUCUUCAGGCAUUGCUCUGAACUGGAACUCGAGAAUGUCUGGAGUCUGAAAACAUUAUCUUAUCUUCCAGCAGCCCUCACAUGCUUGUCAAUUGGCAGUUGCCCACUGCUUACGUUUAUUGCCAGUGAUGAGCUAGAUCUGCAUGAUCAGAGGGAGAACAUCAUGAGAGCAGACUACUUGGCAUCACAACUUGCUUCGAUAUGGGAGGUGGAUUCCGAAUGGGAAAUUAAGAGAAUAUUAACGUCACAACAUUCAUCUCUGAAGCAAAUGAUGACAUUAAUGGAUUCUGAUAUGUCACAUCUUCAAACCAUUGCAAGUGCUGUAGAAAGAGAUAAUGACGAGGUAAUACUGACAGAUGAUAUCAUUAAGGCAUGGAUAUGUUGCCAUGAACAGAGGAUGAGAUUCAUUUAUGGAAGAAGCAUCGGCUUGCCAUUGGUUCCACCAUCAGGUCUUUGUCACCUUCAUCUUUCUUCAUGCAGUAUUACAAAUAGGGCAUUAGCUGUUUGCCUUGACGGUCUCACGUCACUGAGAUGUUUGGUCUUAAUGGAGAUCAUGACUUUAAGUACACUUCCAUGA